GACGAACGCUGGCGGCGUGCUUAACACAUGCAAGUCGAACGGAAAGGCCCGGCGUUUGUUGGUUGCUCGAUUGGCGAACGGGUGAGCAACACGUGAGUAACCUGCCCUUGACUGUGGGAUAACUUCAGGAAACUGGGGCGAAUACCGGGUAUGAUCUCCUGCUGCAUGGUGUGGGUUGGAAAGUGUCGGCGGUGGGGGAUGGACUCGCGGCUUAUCAGCUUGUUGGUGGGGUAGUGGCUUACCAAGGCUUUGACGGGUAGCCGGCCUGAGAGGGUGGCCGGCCACAUUGGGACUGAGAUACGGACCAGACUCCUACGGGCGGCAGCAGUGGGGAGUAUUGCAGAAUGGGCGGAAGCCUGAUGUAGCAACGCCGCGUGCGGGAUGCCGGCUUUCGGGUUGUAAACCGCUUUCGCCUGUGACGAAGAGUGCGUGACGGUAAUGGGUAAAGAAGCACCGGCUAACUACGUG
rnacentral:rRNA from 1 species